rnacentral:rRNA from 1 species
CUCAGGACGAACGCUGGCGGCGUGCGUAAUACAUGCAAGUCGAACGCUUCUUUCCUCCCGAGUGCUUGCACUCAAUUGGAAAGAGGAGUGGCGGACGGGUGAGUAACACGUGGGUAACCUACCCAUCAGAGGGGGAUAACACUUGGAAACAGGUGCUAAUACCGCAUAACAGUUUAUGCCGCAUGGCAUAAGAGUGAAAGGCGCUUUCGGGUGUCGCUGAUGGAUGGACCCGCGGUGCAUUAGCUAGUUGGUGAGGUAACGGCUCACCAAGGCCACGAUGCAUAGCCGACCUGAGAGGGUGAUCGGCCACACUGGGACUGAGACACGGCCCAGACUCCUACGGGAGGCAGCAGUAGGGAAUCUUCGGCAAUGGACGAAAGUCUGACCGAGCAACGCCGCGUGAGUGAAGAAGGUUUUCGGAUCGUAAAACUCUGUUGUUAGAGAAGAACAAGGACGUUAGUAACUGAACGUCCCCUGACGGUAUCUAACCAGAAAGCCACGGCUAACUACGUGCCAGCAGCCGCGGUAAUACGUAGGUGGCAAGCGUUGUCCGGAUUUAUUGGGCGUAAAGCGAGCGCAGGCGGUUUCUUAAGUCUGAUGUGAAAGCCCCCGGCUCAACCGGGGAGGGUCAUUGGAAACUGGGAGACUUGAGUGCAGAAGAGGAGAGUGGAAUUCCAUGUGUAGCGGUGAAAUGCGUAGAUAUAUGGAGGAACACCAGUGGCGAAGGCGGCUCUCUGGUCUGUAACUGACGCUGAGGCUCGAAAGCGUGGGGAGCAAACAGGAUUAGAUACCCUG